AGGGAUGGAGAGAGAGAGCGAAGGAGAGAGGGAUGGAGAUCUCUCUCCAUCCCUCUCUCCUUCGCUCUCUCUCUCCGUAAUUAUU
rnacentral:pre_miRNA from 1 species